rnacentral:rRNA from 1 species
GACGAACGCUGGCGGCGUGCCUAAUACAUGCAAGUAGAACGCACAGUUUAUACCGUAGCUUGCUACACCAUAGACUGUGAGUUGCGAACGGGUGAGUAACGCGUAGGUAACCUGCCUGGUAGCGGGGGAUAACUAUUGGAAACGAUAGCUAAUACCGCAUAAUAUUGAUUAUUGCAUGAUAAUUAAUUGAAAGGUGCAAUUGCACCACUACCAGAUGGACCUGCGUUGUAUUAGCUAGUAGGUGAGGUAACGGCUCACCUAGGCGACGAUACAUAGCCGACCUGAGAGGGUGAUCGGCCACACUGGGACUGAGACACGGCCCAGACUCCUACGGGAGGCAGCAGUAGUGAAUCUUCGGCAAUGGACGAAAGUCUGACCGAGCAACGCCGCGUGAGUGAAGAAGGUUUUCGGAUCGUAAAGCUCUGUUGUAAGAGAAGAACGGGUGUGAGAGUGGAAAGUUCACACUGUGACGGUAUCUUACCAGAAAGGGACGGCUAACUACGUG